rnacentral:RNase_P_RNA from 1 species
GGAGUUGGCCAGACAAUCGCUGAAUUUCAGAGGAAAGUCCGGGCUCCUUCGGGAACGAUGCCAGGUAACACCUGGAAGGCGCGAGCCUAUGGAAAGUGCAUCAGAAAAUAUACCGCUCUGAUUAUUUAGAGUAAGGGUGAAAAGGUGUGGUAAGAGCACACCGCCUUAUUGGCAACAAUAAGGGCAUUGCAAACCCCAUCGGGAGCAAGACCAAAUAGAAGAGUAAUGAUAACCCGUAAUCACUCUUGGGUAGGUCGCUUGAGGUGUUUGGUGACAAACAUCCCAGAUGAAUGAUUGUACAAAGACAGAACCCGGCUUAUAGGUCAACUCCAAAU